rnacentral:rRNA from 1 species
AUUGAACGCUGGCGGCAGGCCUAACACAUGCAAGUCGAACGAGUGGCGGACUGGUGAGUAAUGUCUGGGAAACUGCCUGAUGGAGGGGGAUAACUACUGGAAACGGUAGCUAAUACCGCAUACCAUCGGAUGUGCCCAGAUGGGAUUAGCUAGUGGGUGAGGUAAUGGCUCACCUAGGCGACGAUCCCUAGCUGGUCUGAGAGGAUGAUCGGCCACACUGGGACUGAGACACGGCCCAGACUCCUACGGGAGGCAGCAGUGGGGAAUAUUGGACAAUGGGCGAAAGUCUGAUGGAGCCAUGCCGCGUGUAUGAAGAAGGCUCUAGGGUUGUAAAGUACUGUCAGUCGGGAGGCGGUACCGAAAGAAGAAGCACCGGCUAACUCCGUGCCAGCAGCCGCGGUAAUUC